AGAUCUGUGAGAUGAUCAGGCAGUCCACCACUUCUUACCUGGAGCCCUAUCUCAGGACUCUACCAGUCACCGUGAUGAUUGAUGAGACUGCAAGCCUGGAUUACAGAUUGGUAGGCGCACCCCAGGUGACUUCUGAAGGCCUAGAUACUCCCUUCAAGCAAAGCUCGAGGAGGGCUUCCCACUCCCUAUGCCCAGGCAGAUCUUCCUCAACAACGUGGAACUCCAAAUUCACAAA